rnacentral:rRNA from 1 species
AUUGAACGCUGGCGGCAUGCCUUACACAUGCAAGUCGAACGGCAGCACGGACUUCGGUCUGGUGGCGAGUGGCGAACGGGUGAGUAAUGCAUCGGAACGUGCCAUUGAGUGGGGGAUAACGUAGCGAAAGUUGCGCUAAUACCGCAUAUUCUGUGAGCAGGAAAGCAGGGGACCGCAAGGCCUUGCGCUCUUUGAGCGGCCGAUGUCAGAUUAGCUAGUUGGUGAGGUAAAGGCUUACCAAGGCGACGAUCUGUAGCGGGUCUGAGAGGAUGAUCCGCCACACUGGAACUGAGACACGGUCCAGACUCCUACGGGAGGCAGCAGUGGGGAAUUUUGGACAAUGGGCGCAAGCCUGAUCCAGCCAUGCCGCGUGCGGGAAGAAGGCC